rnacentral:rRNA from 1 species
UACAGAGGUCCCAAGCGUUGUUCGGAUUCACUGGGCGUAAAGGGUGCGUAGGCGGUCGGGUAAGUCUGAUGUGAAAUCUCACAGCUUAACUGUGAAACUGCAUUGGAUACUAUCCGGCUCGAGGAAUGGAGGGGAGACUGGAAUACUUGGUGUAGCAGUGAAAUGCGUAGAUAUCAAGUGGAACACCAGUGACGAAGGCGAGUCUCUGGACAUUUCCUGACGCUGAGGCACGAAAGCCAGGGGAGCAAACGGG